rnacentral:rRNA from 1 species
CCUACGGGGGGCUGCAGUGGGGGAUAUUGCACAAUGGGGGGAACCCUGAUGCAGCGACGCCGCGUGGGUGAAGAAGCGCCUCGGCGCGUAAAGCCCUGUCAGCAGGGAAGAAAAUGACGGUACCUGAAGAAGAAGCCCCGGCUAACUACGUGCCAGCAGCCGCGGUAAUACGUAGGGGGCAAGCGUUAUCCGGAUUUACUGGGUGGAAAGGGGGCGCUGACGGAGUUGCAGGCCAGGUGGGAAAGCCGGGGGGCAAACCCCGGGACUGCUCUUGGAACUGCGUGGCUGGAGUGCGGGAGGGGUAGGCGGAAUUCCUGGUGUAGCGGUGAAAUGCGUAGAUAUCAGGAGGAACACCGGUGGCGAAGGCGGCCUGCUGGACUGCAACUGACGUUGAGGCACGAAAGCGUGGGGAGCAAACAGGAUUAGAUACCCCAGUAGUC